AUUGAACGCUGGCGGCAUGCCUUACACAUGCAAGUCGAACGGCAGCACGGGAGCAAUCCUGGUGGCGAGUGGCGAACGGGUGAGUAAUAUAUCGGAACGUGCCCAGUCGUGGGGAUAACGUAGCGAAAGCUACGCUAAUACCGCAUACGAUCUAUGGAUGAAAGCGGGGGGAUCGCAAGACCUCGCGCGAUUGGAGCGGCCGAUAUCAGAUUAGGUAGUUGGUGAGGUAAAGGCUCACCAAGCCGACGAUCUGUAGCUGGUCUGAGAGGACGACCAGCCACACUGGGACUGAGACACGGCCCAGACUCCUACGGGAGGCAGCAGUGGGGAAUUUUGGACAAUGGGCGCAAGCCUGAUCCAGCAAUGCCGCGUGCAGGAUGAAGGCCUUCGGUUGUAACUGCUUUGUACGGUACGAAAGGUUACUAUUAAUACUAGGAGCUCAUGACGGUACCGUAAGAAUAAG
rnacentral:rRNA from 1 species